rnacentral:rRNA from 1 species
CCUACGGGCGGCAGCAGUGGGGAAUAUUGGACAAUGGGGGCAACCCUGAUCCAGCCAUGCCGCGUGUGUGAAGAAGGCCCUCGGGUUGUAAAGCACUUUCAGUGAGGAAGAACGCCUGGUGGUUAAUACCCAUCAGGAAAGACAUCACUCACAGAAGAAGCACCGGCUAACUCCGUGCCAGCAGCCGCGGUAAUACGGAGGGUGCGAGCGUUAAUCGGAAUUACUGGGCGUAAAGCGCGCGUAGGUGGCUUGAUAAGCCGGUUGUGAAAGCCCCGGGCUCAACCUGGGAACGGCAUCCGGAACUGUCAAGCUAGGGUGCAGGAGAGGAAGGUAGAAUUCCCGGUGGAGCGGUGAAAUGCGUAGAGAUCGGGAGGAAUACCAGUGGCGAAGGCGGCCUUCUGGACUGACACUGACACUGAGGUGUGAAAGCGUGGGUAGCAAACAGGAUUAGAUACCCUAGUAGUC